GAUCCGGUAGUUCAGUUGGUUAGAAUACUUGCCUGUCACGCAAGUGGUCGCGGGUUCGAGUCCCGUCCGGAUCG
rfam:Chishuiella changwenlii strain DSM 27989 genome assembly, contig: Ga0131172_101